ACGGGAGGCAGCAGUGAGGAAUAUUGGUCAAUGGACGGAGUCUGAACCAGCCAAGUCGCGUGAAGGAUGAAGGUUCUAUGGAUUGUAAACUUCUUUUGUCUGAGGGUAAAGUGCGGUACGUGUACCGUUUUGCAAGUAUCAGACGAAUAAGCAUCGGCUAACUCCGUGCCAGCAGCCGCGGUAAUACGGAGGAUGCGAGCGUUAUCCGGAUUUAUUGGGUUUAAAGGGUGCGUAGGCGGGAUGUUAAGUCAGCGGUGAAAGUUUGCGGCUCAACCGUAAAAUUGCCGUUGAAACUGGCGUUCUUGAGUGUAAACGAGGUAGGCGGAAUGUGACGUGUAGCGGUGAAAUGCUUAGAUAUGUCACAGAACCCCGACUGCGAAGGCAGCUUACCAGCAUACAACUGACGCUGAGGCACGAAAGCGUGGGUAUCAAACAGGAUUAGAUACCCUGGUA
rnacentral:rRNA from 1 species